CGAUCUGCUCCUGCAUGCAGUUGGGAAUCCCACGCCAAGGUCAAUCUGCUCCAACACACGUGUUUGCCGUGACAUGACUGCCGCUGUUAUCCAUCGGGGGAUAUUAUAUUUAUACCAAGUGCCGCUCCGAUUCGUCACACACACAACAUCAGAGCUAGCUACUGGUGUGUCAACGAUUAAAGCUAAGGAUCAACUUGCCUAGAAAGACAACACAGAAGGACCUGAUGCAUUAUGCACUGCUUGGGUGCAUCAUGGGCGCCGAGGAAUGUAGUUGACCAAGUUUUCAUGCAUAGUUACUUUGUGUUGCAAACAAAUUCUGACUUCAAUGCGAUAAUUUGGACCUCAGUUCUUAUGACAAGUACUCAUGCUCUUUUCAGACAAAUGCUUUGAGACAAA